CUUGGGAGGAAGGCCACAGAGAUAGAGGGCCAUUUUCAUCACAUCCUGUCAAGGACAAAGAAUAUGAAGCCGAUAGGGAUAAAGUGAGUAACCCAAGGUCACAAGACAAGAGAGCUGGUCCAGGACAAGAACUUGGUGCUCAUGUCAGGUUCUCUCUGCCACAUCUUGAGAAUACGUGCAUCCUUUGCCUUUUAAGACUCCAUCAGCCUCGAAGUUCAUUUGUGUGGCACUAAAAGUAAACCAAAAGCAGGAAGCUAAGGAUCUUUCACCUCUAAUGCACCCUGACCUUGGCUAUUUCAUGUCAGGGUCUGUGCAGUCUAAGCCCAGGCAGCCAACAUGCUUGGAGGAUACUUCAUGUAGUGGUACCUACAGCUCUUUCCAGAAGGCCAUGAAAAUCGAAUUACAUGAAGUAUGAGCCACAAAGAAGUGCUACACAGCCAAUAUAUCACACCACACAUGAUGACUCACAUGUGAUUUGAACUUGUCUCUAUUUGGUUAAAUCUGGGCUCACGAAUACUUGAGAGACAAGGCCUCACUCUGUUGCCCAGGCUGGAGUGCUGUGAUGCGAUCAUGGCUCACCGCAACCUCAACUUCUUGGGCUCAAGCAAUCCUCCUGCCUAAGCUUCCUGAGAAGUGGGG
rnacentral:lncRNA from 1 species